rnacentral:rRNA from 1 species
AUUGCCUCAGUAACGGCGAGUGAAGCGGCAAGAGCUCAAAUUUGAAAGCUGGCCCCCAGCGGGGUCCGCAUUGUAAUUUGCAGAGGAUGCUUCGGGCACGGCCCCCGUCUAAGUGCCCUGGAACGGGCUGUCGGAGAGGGUGAGAAUCCCGUCUGGGACGGGGUGUCCGGGUCCGUGUGAAGCUCCUUCGACGAGUCGAGUUGUUUGGGAAUGCAGCUCUAAAUGGGUGGUAAAUUUCAUCUAAAGCUAAAUACUGGCCGGAGACCGAUAGCGCACAAGUAGAGUGAUCGAAAGAUGAAAAGCACUUUGAAAAGAGAGUUAAACAGCACGUGAAAUUGUUGAAAGGGAAGCGCUUGCGAUCAGACUCGCCCGCAGGGUUCAGCCGGCACUCGUGCCGGUGUACUUCCCUGCGGGCGGGCCAGCGUCAGUUCGGGUGGCCGGUCAAAGGCCCCGGGAAUGUGUCGCCCUCCGGGGCGUCUUAUAGCCCGGGGUGCCAUGCCGCCCGCCUGGACUGAGGAACGCGCUUCGGCACGGACGCUGGCGUAAUGGUCGUAAGCGGCCCGUCUU